ensembl:lncRNA
GGAGAGGUGAGUUAGAAACAUACACAUUGUCAGUCAUUGUAGACAGUAGACUUUGUUCUUUUACUCAUGUGUUUUUUGUGUUUGAUUGUUUCAGAUGCUGAGAGAUCAAGUGGUGGACGUCCAUAGAGGAGAGGUGAGUUAGACAUUGUCACACAUUGCAGACAGUAGACUUUGUUCUUUUACUCAUGUGUUUAUUGUGUUUGAUUGUUUCAGAUCAUGAGAGAUCAAGUGGUGGACGUCCAGAGAGGAGAGAUCCUGAGAGACCAAGCGGUGGACGUCCAGAGAGGAGAGGUGAGUUACACAUUGUCACACAUUGCUGCUUUAUUCAUGUGUUUGUUUUUUUCAGAUGCUGAGAGACCAAGCGGUGGACGUCCAGAGAGGAGAGAUCCUGAGAGACCAAGUGGUGGACGUCCAGAGAGGAGAGGUCCUGAGAGAUCAAGCGGUGGACGUCCAGAGAGGAGAGAUCCUGAGAGAUCAAGUGGUGGACGUCCAGAGAGGAGAGGUGAGUUAAACAUUGUCACACAUUGCUGCUUUAUUCAUGUGUUUGAUUGUUUCAGAUGCUGAGAGACCAAGUGGUGGACGUCCAGAGAGAAGAGAUCCUGAGAGACCAAGUGGUGGACGUCCAGAGAGGAGAGAUCCUGAGAGAUCAAGUGGUGGACGUCCAGAGAGGAGAGGUGAGUUAGACAUUGUCACACAUUGCUGCUUUAUUCAUGUGUUUGAUUGUUUCAGAUGCUGAGAGACCAAGUGGUGGACGUCCAGAGAGCAGAGAUGCUGAGAGAUCAAGUGGUGGACGUCCAGAGAGGAGAGGUGAGUUAGAAACAUGCACAGUGUAGGUGAUGGGUGUUUUGAGUUUGAUUCAUUGCUUUGUCAUAGAUUGAAGACAUGGGACUUUGAUCAUAUUUGUCUUUUAUUUGUUUCAGGAGGUUGACAGAGACAGACAGAGGUGAGUUACAACAAGGAAAUGUUAUGUAUGGUGUCACACAUUGAAGACAGCGUUGUUGAUUGUUUGCUUUUGUGUUCAUGUCUUUUAG